AGUCGAGCGAGGUAGCAUACCUAGCGGCAGACGGGUGAGUAACAUGUGGCAAUCUGCCUUUUGGUUCGGAACAACACGGGGAAACCUGUGCUAAUACCGGAUAAGUCCUAACGGAGAAAGUUUUAAUGCCAAAAGAUGAGCCCGCAUUUGAUUAGCUAGUUGGUAAGGUAAAAGCUUACCAAGGCGACAAUCAAUAGCUGAUUUGAGAGGAUGAUCAGCCACACUGGGACUGAGAUACGGCCCAGACUCCUACGGGAGGCAGCAGUGGGGAAUCUUGCACAAUGGGCGAAAGCCUGAUGCAGCGAUGCCGCGUGAGUGAAGAAGGCCUUUGGGUUGUAAAGCUCUUUUGUCGGGAAAGAUAAUGACUGUACCCGAAGAAUAAGGUCCGGCUAACUUCGUGCCAGCAGCCGCGGUAAUACGAAGGGACCUAGCGUAUUUCGGAAUUAACUGGGCGUAAAGAGUAUGUAGGCGGCUAGAUAAGUUAAUUGUGAAAGCCCAAAGCUUAACUUUGGAAUUGCAAUUAAAACUAUUUAGCUGGGGUAUGAUAGAGGAAAGCGGAAUACUUAGUGUAGAGGUGAAAUUCGUAAAAUAUUAUGUAGAAACACCCGUUGCCAAGGGGGGGUUUCUGGAUCAUUACUGACGCCUAAAAACAAAAAUAUGGGUAGCGAAAAAAGAUUAAAAACCCCUCGUAGUCCCUUCCAUUAAACGUGGAUUAUUAAAUGUGGGGGAAAUAAUUUCUUUGUUUCAUAGCUAACGCGGUUAAAAA
rnacentral:rRNA from 1 species